GAUGAAGAACGCAGCGAAAUGAGAUAAGUAAUGUGAAUUGCAGAAUUCAGUGAAUCAUCGAAUCUUUGAACGCACAUUGCGCCCGCCAGUAUUCUGGCGGGCAUGCCUGUUCGAGCGUCAUUUCAACCAUCAAGCCCCCGGGCUUGUGUUGGGGACCUGCGGCUGCCGCAGGCCCUGAAAAGCAGUGGCGGGCUCGCUGUCACACCGAGCGUAGUAGAUUUUAUCUCGCUCUGGGCGUGCUGCGGGUUCCGGCCGUUAAACCACCCUUUUAACCCAAGGUUGACCUCGGAUCAGCUAGGAAGACCCGCUGAACUUAAGCAUAUCAUAAGCGGAGGA
rnacentral:misc_RNA from 1 species